UAAUGUGAGGAUGGUAUACAGU
rnacentral:piRNA from 1 species